UACAGAGGGGGCAAGCGUUGUUCGGAAUUACUGGGCGUAAAGGGCGCGUAGGCGGCCCUCUAAGUUAGACGUGAAAUCCCUCGGCUCAACCGGGGAACUGCGUCUGAGACUGGAAGGCUUGAAUUCGGGAGAGGGAUGUGGAAUUCCAGGUGUAGCGGUGAAAUGCGUAGAUAUCUGGAGGAACACCGGUGGCGAAGGCGGCAUCCUGGACCGAGAUUGACGCUGAUGCGCGAAAGCCAGGGGAGCAAACGGG
rnacentral:rRNA from 1 species